rfam:Triticum aestivum genome assembly, contig: Triticum_aestivum_CS42_TGACv1_scaffold_500374_6BL
AUUUUGGUCUCUCCGUCUGAAAAUACUUGUCGAAGGAAUGAAUGUAUCUAGACGUAUUUUUGUCCUAGAUACAUUCAUUUUUAUGCAUUUUUCCGACAAAUAUUUCGGAACGAAGGGAGCACUAA